UACGUAGGGUGCAAGCGUUAAUCGGAAUUACUGGGCGUAAAGCGUGCGCAGGCGGUUGUGCAAGACAGAUGUGAGAUCCCCGGGCUUAACCUGGGAAUUGCAUUUGUGACUGCACGGCUAGAGUGUGUCAGAGGGGGGUAGAAUUCCACGUGUAGCAGUGAAAUGCGUAGAUAUGUGGAGGAAUACCGAUGGCGAAGGCAGCCCCCUGGGAUAACACUGACGCUCAUGCACGAAAGCGUGGGGAGCAAACAGG
rnacentral:rRNA from 1 species